AUUGAACGCUGGCGGCAUGCCUUACACAUGCAAGUCGAACGGCAGCACGGGGCAACCUGGUGGCGAGUGGCGAACGGGUGAGUAAUGCAUCGGAACGUGCCCUGUAGUGGGGGAUAACUAGUCGAAAGAUUAGCUAAUACCGCAUACGACCUGAGGGUGAAAGUGGGGGACCGCAAGGCCUCAUGCUAUAGGAGCGGCCGAUGUCUGAUUAGCUAGUUGGUGGGGUAAAGGCCUACCAAGGCGACGAUCAGUAGCUGGUCUGAGAGGACGAUCAGCCACACUGGGACUGAGACACGGCCCAGACUCCUACGGGAGGCAGCAGUGGGGAAUCUUGGACAAUGGGCGAAAGCCUGAUCCAGCAAUGCCGCGUGUGUGAAGAAGGCCUUCGGGUUGUAAAGCACUUUUGUCCGGAAAGAAAUGGCUCUGGUUAAUACCUGGGGUCGAUGACGGUACCGGAAGAAUAAGGACCGGCUAACUACGUGCCAGCCGCCGCCGUAAGAC
rnacentral:rRNA from 1 species